UUCUGUCCCGAAUAAUUAAAGUUUUAGGUCAAAGGGCUCCAUCAACAGUUAGCUAGUCUUCUUGUAGUUUUAUCCUUGUGCUUUUCUGUUGUGGUGCUUGUAAACAGUUUCUGUAGCAUCUUGUAUGUGCCGUUCUCGGGUUUUUAGUUUUUCUUUCUCGUUGUACGGAUUGUUGUAAUUCCUGACCGGUUGAUGGCUUUGUUAAUUCAAAGUCGGGCUCUUUUUGUGCCUUCUUUCUAAAAAAGUUAAAGUUUUCCGACUUUUAUAUGGAUGUUUCGUGUUGCAUUUUUGU
rnacentral:lncRNA from 1 species